GAUGAACGCUGGCGGCGUGCCUAAUACAUGCAAGUCGAGCGAACGGACGAGAAGCUUGCUUCUCUGAUGUUAGCGGCGGACGGGUGAGUAACACGUGGAUAACCUACCUAUAAGACUGGGAUAACUUCGGGAAACCGGAGCUAAUACCGGAUGAUAUUUUGAGCCGCAUGGUUCAAAAGUGAAAGACGGUCUUGCUGUCACUUAUAGAUGAAUCCGCGCUGCAUUAGCUAGUUGGUAAGGUAACGGCUUACCAAGGCAACGAUGCAUAGCCGACCUGAGAGGGUGACCGGCCCCCCUGGAACUGAGACACGGUCCAGACUCCUACGGGAGGCAGCAGUAGGGAAUCUUCCGCAAUGGGCGAAAGCCUGACGGAGCAACGCCGCGUGAGUGAUGAAGGUCUUCGGAUCGUAAAACUCUGUUAUUAGGGAAGAACAUAUGUGUAAGUAACUGUGCACAUCUUGACGGUACCUAAUCAGAAAGCCACGGCUAACUACGUG
rnacentral:rRNA from 1 species